CCUGCUCUUCCGGAUUUGGCGGGCUCUUUGCCAAAAGCCCAGAGCUGUUUUCCUCAGGCAGUGCAAAGAGAAAAGUGCAGAAGUCCCAGCCUACGGUUGUGUAAACCUCUCGCGCCAUGCGGUACCUAACGUGCCUGCUGUUUUGGGUGUUUCCGUGGGUCUGGGUACAAUCUGAAGCCCAGCAAAAGAAUUUCCCCUUCCGCUGCCUGCAGAUCUCUUCCUUCCCAAACAGUAGUUGCUCAAGCACAGAUGGCUUGGCCUGGCUGGGGGAUCUGCAAACGCACCGGUGGAGCAAUGCCUCAGACACCAUUGACUUCGUGAAGCCCUGGUCCCCGGGCAAAUUCAGUGACCAACAGUGGAAGAACUUGCAGCGUAUAUUUCAAAUUUAUCGAUUAAGCUUUACCAGGGACAUACGGGAAUUUGUCAAAAUGGUGCCUAAUAUACACUAUCCUGUUGAGAUCCAGUUGUCUGCUGGGUGUGACGUGUACUCUGAGAACGUUUCGGAAAGCUUUUUCUAUGCAGCAUAUCAAGGGGAAUAUAUCCUGAGUUUUCAUGGAACUUCCUUUCAGAAGGCCCCAGAUGCCCCACCUUGGACAGCGUUUGUCAUUGAAGUGCUCAACGGUGAUCGUGGGACAUUGGAAACGCUGCAAUGGCUUCUGUACGACCUCUGCCCCCAGUUUGUCCAUGGCCUCCUGGAGGCAGGGAAGUCAGAGCUAGAGAAGCAAGAGAAGCCUGUGGUCUCGUUGUCCAGUGGCCUCAGUCCUAAGCAUGGUCAUCUACAGUUGGUGUGUCAUGUCUCUGGAUUCUACCCAAAGCCUGUGUGGGUGAUGUGGAUAAAGGAUGAGCAGGAGCAAAAUAGUACUCAGAGGAGUGACUACCUGCCCAAUGCUGAUGAGACAUGGUAUCUCCGAGCAACCCUGGAUGUGGAGGCUGGAAAGGAGGCUGGCCUGGCCUGCUGGGUGAAACACAGCAGUCUACGAGGACAGGAUAUCAUCCGCUAUUGGGAGCAGAUGGCAGAAAUUUAUCCACGGGUUUGAUCGUCGGUCUAGUAUUACUAGCAGUACUAAUAUGUGCUAUAAUCUAUUAUGUGUUCUACACCAAGAAGCGCUGCUCCUAUCAAGACGUCCUGUAGGUCUUCCUUACACCUGCCUUUCCUGAGACUCAGACCAUCCAGCUUCUCGGACUUCAGUCCUGGUUGCUGAGGAACCGAGGAGAAUAAAAGAGCCUUGAAGAAAGUGAAGAGCAACCCGCGCACCUUUCAACAUGUACUUUAAAAAUUAAUUUCUUUUUCAUUGUGUUACAAGUUUAUAAAAGCCCAGGUGGUUUGGAACAAACACAAUUGCAAAUACACAUACCUGCCAAGAACGAGCUGUGGGCAGUAUUUUAUGGGAUUUGCACUGAACUGGAAAGCACAGAUCCUGCCCAAACCAAUGGUUCCAAGUUUGUUGAAAAGUGUAAAGUCCAAUGCCAACAUGGCUGAACUCUGCAGGUUUCAAGAAACCUAGACGUACUUAUUUGAGAGGAGAGGCGACAUACAGAUUUUAAAGUAAACUCAAAUUUUGCAAAUA